UUCGGAGAGUUUGAUCCUGGCUCAGGACGAACGCUGGCGGCGUGCCUAAUACAUGCAAGUCGAGCGAAUCGAUGGGAGCUUGCUCCCUGAGAUUAGCGGCGGACGGGUGAGUAACACGUGGGCAACCUGCCUAUAAGACUGGGAUAACUUCGGGAAACCGGAGCUAAUACCGGAUACGUUCUUUUCUCGCAUGAGAGAAGAUGGAAAGACGGUUUACGCUGUCACUUAUAGAUGGGCCCGCGGCGCAUUAGCUAGUUGGUGAGGUAAUGGCUCACCAAGGCGACGAUGCGUAGCCGACCUGAGAGGGUGAUCGGCCACACUGGGACUGAGACACGGCCCAGACUCCUACGGGAGGCAGCAGUAGGGAAUCUUCCGCAAUGGACGAAAGUCUGACGGAGCAACGCCGCGUGAACGAAGAAGGCCUUCGGGUCGUAAAGUUCUGUUGUUAGGGAAGAACAAGUACCAGAGUAACUGCUGGUACCUUGACGGUACCUAACCAGAAAGCCACGGCUAACUACGUGCCAGCAGCCGCGGUAAUACGUAGGUGGCAAGCGUUGUCCGGAAUUAUUGGGCGUAAAGCGCGCGCAGGUGGUUCCUUAAGUCUGAUGUGAAAGCCCACGGCUCAACCGUGGAGGGUCAUUGGAAACUGGGGAACUUGAGUGCAGAAGAGGA
rnacentral:rRNA from 1 species